ensembl:snoRNA predicted gene, 23130
GUUUGAAUGAUGAUUUAAACUGUCGGAUACCCCUUCACCUUUUUUCAUGGGUGAAAAAUCAACAGUCUGACAAAC